rnacentral:rRNA from 1 species
UACGGAGGGGGCUAGCGUUGCUCGGAAUGACUGGGCGUAAAGGGCGUGUAGGCGGUUUGUACAGUUAGAUGUGAAAUCCCCGGGCUUAACCUGGGAGCUGCAUUUAAUACGUGUAGACUAGAGUGUGAGAGAGGGGUGUGGAAUUCACAGUGUAGAGGUGAAAUUCGUAGAUAUUGGGAAGAACACCGGUGGCGAAGGCGGCAACCUGGAUCAUUACUGACGCUGAGGCGCGAAAGCGUGGGGAGCAAACAGG